AGUGGCAGGAAGAAGAAAGCUCUUAGUAGACAUACAGAGAAUAAGGUUAUUGUGUUAAUACGCUUUAUCCUCUAGGACGUCGCCUCUGUCAGGGGUUUGUUCUGCACUCAGAACCUCUGUGGCCCUUAGCCUGGUCACACAGCUAGUGAGUGAUGGACUCAAGAUUCAAAACGUGGUCCAAAGCUGGUGCUCCUCGCCUCUUCUCUACCCUGGGGAUACGAUGGCUGCAGGCAGGACAAGCCCACGCCCAGGGGUCAGAGCAUGGAGAAUCACCGGUCAUGUUAGCCUCCAACCUGUUAGGUGAAUUGAGGACAGCUACGACUGCAGCUGGGACCCCGAUGCUGGGGAUGAGAACUUGCAUAUUUAAAAUGAUGCUGAGAGAGGAGGAGGAAUGAUGGAUGAGCUCAGGAAGAUGUGAUGGCUUCUGCAAUGACACUAGUAAAUAGAAUACAGAAUCCAGCUCCCGUACUUAUGAUUGGAAACUAACUACAAACAAGCAAGAUUUCCUAAGAAAAAGAGAUCUGCAGUAAUUGUCCAUGGUGGAAAAAUGAAGCACAGAUAUCUAGAUGUGGAAUGCUGGAUUGUAAAUAUAUGUUUAACUCUAUAAGAAGCCACCAAACUGUUUUCCAAAUGGCUCUACCAUUUUCCAU